rnacentral:rRNA from 1 species
UACGGAGGAUGCGAGCGUUAUCCGGAAUUACUGGGCUUAAAGGGUGCGCAGGCGGUUGGUUAAGUCAGGGGUGAAAGCCCUAUGCUCAACAUAGAGAUUGCCUUUGAUACUGAACGGCUAGAGUGAAGAUGGAGUGGGUGGAAUGCCCUGUGUAGCGGUGAAAUGCAUAGAUAUAACACAGAACACCGAUCGCGAAGGCAGCUCACUAAUUUUCAACUGACGCUCAUGCACGAAAGCGUGGGGAUCAAACAGG